UCAUCGUAGGGUUAGUCGGGACCUAAGUCGAGUCCGAAAGGGGUAGACGAUGGCAAAUCGGUUAAUAUUCCGAUACCGACGGUUGUUUGUUUGAAUGAUGGAGGGACGCAUAGGGCUAAACGAGCUCACUGAUGGAAUAGUGGGUCGAAGGACGUAGGUUGUUAAGUAGGCAAAUCCGCUUAACGUUGGACCGAGAUCUUACAGGCAGAGCAAUUGCUUCGGCAAGCGCUUUGAAUCGUUGAUGCCGUCGUGCCGAGAAAAGCUUCUAAAUGAGAACAACCGUUGCCCGUACCGUAAACCGACACAGGUGGGUGAGAUGAGUAUUCUAAGGCGCGUGGAAGAAUUACUGUUAAGGAACUCUGCAAACUAGCACCGUAUCUUCGGUAUAAGGUGUGCCCAUAAGGUGAAGCCCCUGCGGGUGGAGCCAGAUUGGGUCGCAGCAAAGAGUCCCUCCCGA
rnacentral:rRNA from 1 species